UUACAUUUUUUGUGUAGUAUUUUAUCGUAGACGCAUUUCGCCGCGAUCGACGUUUGUUUGGGACUCUAAUUUGUGUUAUAAGUAAUAAAGCAGCUUUGUGUCUUAGAUCAUUUGUUUGGCUUUCUUUAACGCCAAGUAUCCGAAAUUAAGAAUUACACCCAAGUCUACAGAAUCAUCAAUCUACUCAAUCUUCAUACUGCUGCGUUGAAUCACGUCGCCAAUACAAUACACGAUCGAGGUGAAAUGCGACUAAAGUAAUAAACGAUUGAGUCAUAACGCGAAAGUUAAAUGCACGAUCGAGGUGAAAUGCGACUAAAACUUAUAGCCACUAGAAAAAAAAAACUAUUGAGACACAAUGCGAAAAUUAAAUAUGAGAUCGAGGUGAAAUGCGAUUUGGUGAAUGACUACAACAAUUUUAUGCUUUUGGGGUACAGGUCUAACAAAUCUCACUUUUCA